rnacentral:rRNA from 1 species
UUCGCAAUGCCCGAAAGGGUGACGAAGCGACGCCGCGUGGGUGAGGAAGGCCUUCGGGUUGUAAAGCCCUGUCAGGAGUUAAGAAAUGUAGACUCGCUAAUUUCGGGUCUAUUUGACAAAGGCUCCAAAGGAAGCCACGGCUAACUCUGUGCCAGCAGCCGCGGUAAUACAGAGGUGGCAAGCGUUGUUCGGAAUUAUUGGGCGUAAAGAGCACGUAGGUGGAUUUGUAAGUCAGACGUGAAAGCCUUCUGUUCAACGGAAGAAUUGCAUCUGAAACUACAAACCUUGAGUGUAGGAGGGGAGAAUGGAACUUCUGGUGGAGCGGUGAAAUGCGUAGAUAUCAGAAGGAACGCCGGCGGCGAAAGCGAUUCUCUGGCCUAUUACUGACACUCAGUGUGCGAAAGCUAGGGGAGCAAACGGGAUUAGAUACCCCGGUAGUCCUAGCCGUAAACGAUGGGCACUAAGUAGAGGGGUUUU